rnacentral:rRNA from 1 species
GGACAUUGCUCUGGCAGAUAAGCCCUGCUUCGGCAGGCAUGCUUGAUCGCAUGAACUUCUGACCUAUCAGCUUUGACUGUGCUGUAGUGGACCACAGUGGCCUUGACGGGUGACGGAGAAUCAGGGUUCGAUUCCGGAGAGGGGGCCUGAGAAAUGGCCACCACUACCAAGGUGGGCAGCAGGCGCGCAAAUUGCCCAAUACAAAGCCAGCUUGUGAGGCAGCAACGAACUGCAGCAAACAUGCCCACUUUCGUGGGUUUGUCUUGGAAUGGAUGCUAUCCAAACACAGCCAUGAGCAACAAGUGGAGGGCAAGUCUGGUGCCAGCAGCUGCGGUAAUUCCAGCUCUACUGGUGUAUACUAACAUUGCUGCUGUUAAAACACUCGUAGUCUGCCACUGGGAUUCAGGUCUGGUGGAGGCUGGCUGACUGUGUUUCGGCAUGGUUGGCUGGAUACACCCUCUGUCAGUAUGUUCCUGAUCCCAACAGCAAGGAUGCUGAAAGGCUCCUGCAUGAAGUCUUCUUCAGUGAAGGCCAAAGUUAUCUUGCAGCAAGCGCUUGCUUGGGAGAACAGAAUGGGCCUUGUGCCCUUGAUCAACUGCCCGUAACCGGAGUGCAGCAUCAGAGCAACCCUGGUAAACUCAGUGUGCUUCAAGCAACCUUUAAUGGCUUGUAUGCCAUCCAGUGAAUUGCACAGCAACGAUCGGACUUGGCUAUGCGUUGUGCUGGCCUUGGUGCCAAAUCUGAGCAAUCUGGGACAGGUCCCUUGUCAGUGCCUUGUCUUCAUGGCAUGUGCUCUGUCUUGGCGGUCUGUUUCCAACCGGACAUGAUGGAAUUGUUCCAAGUGAAGGAUACUGCAGUGCCAGAGGUGAAAUUCUUAGACCACUGCAUGAUCAACUGCAGCGAAGGCACUCUGCAAGGGCAUGUUCGUCGAUCAAGAAUGAGAGCCUGGGGAGCAAAGAUGAUCAGACACCGUCGUAGUCCAGUGCAGUAAACUAUGCCAGCUUGGCUUUGGUGAAGCAAGAUCACAGACUCCAUCAGUGCCAUGCCCCCUUCAACGAGAAAUCCACAGCCUGUGGGUUCAGGGGGAAGUACUGUCGCAAGGCAGAAACUUAAAGGAAUUGACGGAAUGGCACCACAAGGCGUGGAAUAUGCGGCUUAAUUUGACUCAACACGGGGAAUGUUACCAGGUCAGGACACUGUCAGGAUGGACAGAUUGAGAGCUCUUUCUUGAUCCAGUGGAUGGUGGUGCAUGGCCGCUCCUGAUCGGUGGAGUGAUUUGUCUGGUUGAUUCCGAUAACGGGUGAGAUAUCUGCCUUCCAAUAGCCUCAGUCACACAUAUGUAGGGAUGCCCAGGGGAAAGCUUGCUUGAACCUGGGUGCCUGAGUGAGCUGAGCCAAGCUUCUCUGAGGUGCUGUGUCUGUUACCAAAGUCACGCAUGCUAGAGCCCACAGCGUGUGUGAGAGGCUCCCAGAUGUCCUGGGCCGCACGCGCAUUACAUUGACACAGUGAAGGUGUUAUGCAUCCUUGUGAUGCCCAUCUCAGAAGUGAGUUGGAAACCAUGCAAGUCUGUGCUGUACUGGGGAUAGAUGAUUGCAACUAUCUGCCUUGAACGAGGAAUGCCUAGUAUGC